ensembl:lncRNA
AAAACCAAAAGAAAAAGAAACUUUCUUGAAGCUCCAGCCAAGAACUGGACCACUUCCCCACUUGCGAGCAAUGUCCUUCCUUCCUUCCUUCCAGGCCAGGCAGCGCCUCAUGGCAGAGUUCCAGGAACAUGCCGCAAAGCGACAAGCCCACCUGGGGAGCAGCUACAGCCGGCUGGAGUACGCCCGGCUCCUGUCUGAACGGGUGGCCCUGCAGACCAAGGAGCGUCUCUCUGGAUCGACCCAGUGUUUUGUCAACUACCCCGGGGCAAGGUUCUACGCUGCGGCUGGGGCUCCUCAGGGGAGCUGGGCAAUCAUCACUCGGAAACUGAUCCCCUUGCUCAAGUUGGUGGUUCAGACCCUGGAGGAGAGCAAAAAGGGUGCCCCAGAGAUGCCUCUGGGGUUGGGAUCGGGCGAAGGCUACUCCUCCAGGAGCACUCUGAAGGUGUCAGAGGUACCUAGUGCGGUGUUGAGGACCAACACAAAGGAGGAAGUGGCACCUAUUGCUGGAGCCCUCUCACCGGUAACACCUUCUCAGCACGCCCCAGACAAGUCCCAGCUUCUGCAGGAAAUCCAGACAAGGAUCUUCUUGGAGAAGCAUGCAGGUGAAAUGGUGCAUCUCGAGCAGUCCUUAAUAGCAGAGGAAAUUGACCUGAUCUCUUGCUUUUGUGAAUCACUCGAACUGCAGAAGAACCUGGAAACCCUGUUGCACCCGAGCACGGAUUGUUCCAAGGACUGGGAGGACCUGCUGAAGGAACUGGCCGACUACCACCACCACAUGGAAGAAGAGUUGGUCCAGAGGCAGUGGGAAGAAAUGCAAUGGGUGGGGCUUACCCUUGGGGGUGUCCCUCUCAAAGAGGGGGGUUUAUUCUCCCGAGAAGAAAUCCGGCAGAAUCUAGUGUCACUAGGGGCCAGUUUGAAAAAGGCAGACUCCCUCUUUGGAGUGGAUGCUGCAAACCAUGGAAACCAAGCUUUGGGGGCAAAGUCCAGCCGCUCGGUGACUCAGAAAAUACAAGCCACGGCCAUCAAGAUGGUCCGGCAAGAAGCUGUGAAGCAGCUCUGGGGACACAGAGUCCUGGACCGUUACAGCUGCCUCUUCCAGAAUGGAAGGUCCUCGUUAGUAAAGGACGAGAAAGAGAAGAAAGGAAAGGGGAAAUGGGAAAGUUUCCAAGAAGCUCGGUUGGCGGAGAUGGAGAAAUCUUACCGGGGCCAAAUACUGGAGGAAAAAGCGAAAAUGCAGGAUCAGCUGGAAAAGGGUGAAAUCAAGAAAUGGUUGAAGCAGAAGCUGUUGAGAGAACAUGAUGAAACGCUGACCUUCCUGGAUAGAGCAUUCCAGCAAGAUAUGCAGAAGCAGAGAGGAAGGGUGGAGGUGGAGAAAAGGAGGAGACAAGCCAGUCAAGAAGAUGGAAGCUACCCAAUAUCUAAGGAUGCCGCUGUGCAGGAACAGGAUCCACCCAGCCUGGCCGAAGGUGACAAAGUCAACUCCCUCUUGGCGGAAUAUGUCAAGAUGCUGAGACACACUGAACUCCUGGUGCUUUUAAGAACGACCCUCUUGAAUCCUCAGUUCAGGUCCCUUCUUUCUGGUAGGUUUUACUUUCCCAAGGGGCUGGAGACUCAUCUGAAAGGGUUUGGCCAUUUGUUGAGAUUUAAAUUCACCAGCAAAGCAUCUGUGUUUUUGUGUAGACAAGAAGGAAACUGGUGA